GUGUCUUCUAGGUUCUCCAUCUUUUCUUUCUUUUUCUUUUGCUCUAGUUUGGUUGGUGGUGGUUCCCUGUCAAGUUGUUGUUCUAUUCUCUGAUAUAUUAUGAGCCUCCCGGAGUUGUUUGGAGUUGGGACGCAUCAAAUCAGUGAAUAAAAUAAAAGGACAACGUCGUGACAUGGUGUCAUUGUGGCUUGUACCGGCUGCCUAAGCCAAGUCUUCUGGAGUGAACCUCUUCCUGACUGGGAAAACUGAGAGUGCAGUCCCUUCCUUGGCCGCUUGUAGCGGAAAACCAGAACAACAUACAGAACGGCG